GCGGCAUGCCCUUACACAUGCAAGUCGAACGGCAGCAUGAUCUAGCUUGCUAGAUUGAUGGCGAGUGGCGAACGGGUGAGUAAUACAUCGGAACGUGCCCUGUAGUGGGGGAUAACUAGUCGAAAGAUUAGCUAAUACCGCAUACGACCUGAGGGUGAAAGUGGGGGACCGCAAGGCCUCAUGCUAUAGGAGCGGCCGAUGUCUGAUUAGCUAGUUGGUGGGGUAAAGGCCCACCAAGGCGACGAUCAGUAGCUGGUCUGAGAGGACGAUCAGCCACACUGGGACUGAGACACGGCCCAGACUCCUACGGGAGGCAGCAGUGGGGAAUUUUGGACAAUGGGGGCAACCCUGAUCCAGCAAUGCCGCGUGUGUGAAGAAGGCCUUCGGGUUGUAAAGCACUUUUGUCCGGAAAGAAAUCGCACUUACUAAUAUUAGGUGUG
rnacentral:rRNA from 1 species